GUCAACCCCCCAUCCCCCUUCCCCUUGGCAGCAGCUCCUGCGAUGCUUUUUGUGCCUAUCUCCAAACCCCAGACUCUUUUGUAUACACCCCCCCUCCGCAUCUGCUUUAGGAGCUUGCUCUGCUACCUGUGAUAAGGCAAAGCUCCCUAUUAAAAAAAAAAAAAAAAGACCCCCUCUAAAGCAACCCACUCCGGUUGCCUUCUCCAUUAGAAACCAUUUUGCACUUUAGAAACCCAGAGGUUUGAAAGAGAGAGGGAGAGAGAGAGAGAGAGAGAGAGGCAUUUCCAAUAGUCACACUUGUCAAGUGAGACCAUCUUUUACCCCUCAGCAGCAGCAAAUCCAUGUGAACUCUGGGUGAACCAAGAUUGAGGUCCUUAUUUCCACCGUUCCCCUCGCAAGUUCCGCGCUGCUUCUGCUCCAUAAUUGGACUUAUCUCCCCCUCGCACACACACAGACCCACAGACACACAAACCCCAGCCUGUGAUUUAUGGCAUUUAUGCAAAAAUGUCUGAAACGAGCAGGGCCCUGGAAGGCUUCAAAAAAAGUUUAAGGCACGCGCGCACACGCACACGCACACACACACACACACACACACAGGCACACACACACAUCCACGCUUGACUAAUCUAAUAUGACAAACAAUAUGAUGGAUAUAGUUUAUGUUAAUUCGCGAUGCCCUUUCCUGCAGAAUUUAACUGUAAGGUAAUGUACACCGGAAACUCCAAGUCUACAUGGUCUGCUAAUAGGCUGAGGUAUUAGCUGGUUCUAACGAUGCAUACAAAUGUACGUGUCUCUGUAGGCUGCCCAAAGAUUUAUGGCUCUUUUGCUUUCUCGAGCUGUAAACAAGGAGGGGAAGAAAAAAAAAACCCCGUCUAUGCACCACUUAUUACCUGCAGGAGCCUUUAAAAAAAUACAACCCACGUUGCAAAAAAAAGAGGGGAAAAAAAAAGAAAAAAGAAAAAAAAAAAAAGGAGAUUUCAGCCAAGCCUGCUACUUUUCUUCUAAAAAACCCUCGACCUAGAGGGUGCGUGUGUGUGUGUGCCACUUUUCUCCUAAAAAACCCUUGCUCUUGAGUGUGUGUGUGCCACUUUUCUUCUAAAAAAACCCUUGCCCUUGAGUGUGUGCGUGUGCCACUUUUCUCCUAAAAAACCCUUGCCCUUGAGUGUGUGCCACUUUUCUCCUAAAAAAAACCCUUGCCCUUGAGUGUGUGUGCCACUUUUCUCCUAAAAAAAACCCCUUGCCCUUGAGUGUGUGUGUCUGUGCCAUUUUUCUCCUAAAAUCACUUGCCCUUGAGUAUGUGUGUGUGUCACUUUUCUCCUAAAAAAAACCCCCUCACCCUGGAGGGGUGUGUGUGUGUCCGUGUGUGUGUGUGCUAUUUCUUUGCUCAUGUCUCGAACCAGAGGACAACAGCUGAAACUCACCCCCUCCCCCCUUCUUUUUUUUGCGGGGGGGGACUUCCCAGCAGCAGAACUUGUAUUCCUCCAGGCACAGAGAGGAGCCGGCUCGGAUUCAGACUCCCGGCACAAGGGCAGGAGGGGAAAAAAAGUUUCCAUUGAGAUGGGAAGAGAUGUUUUCCCCCCUUCUCGCCUUGAUGCAAAUUGCAACAAAGGAACAAUGAAGAUACCGCGUUCCCCGGCUACAUCUACGAAGCGAACUUUUGCUUUCUGUGUCUUUUUCUUUUUUCUUUUUUUCCCUUUUCUCCCCCUAGGUUCCUUCCUGCUUUGUUCCAGCGGAGCUUCCUGGGAUCCAAUCCUUCCCGUGGCAGAGAGGAGAAUAAUUGUGCCUUAGAAGAGAGUGGUAAAUAAGAAGGGAAAGGCUUUGCUUCUUGGAAAAAGAGGGAAAGAGAGAAAUAUGGUUGCUGCGUGAAGGUAGCUGUCUCUGAUGGCUCUCCUAGCAGGCCAGGCAUCGCGAGGGGAUUUUUCGUGUGAAUUUAUGUGAUCUUGCAAAUAUGUACAUACAUAUAUAUACAGUGUGUGUAUAUGUAUACAAUAUAUAUAUUAUAUAUAUAUAUAUAUAUAUAUAUGCACACACACACUGUAUAAAUAUGUGUGUCUACAUACACACACUGUAUAUAUAUAUAUACUAUAUAUAUAUAUAUAUAUAUACACACACAUACUAUAUAUAUAUACACACAUACAUGCAUACACACACAGUAUAUAUGUGUGUAUGGGUGUGUGUGAGAUCUUGCAAAUGUAUGUGUCUGUGUGUGUCUGUGUAUGUAUGUAAUAUAUGUAUAUGUAUGUCUAGAUGUGUGUAUAUGUAUGUGUGUGUAUGUGUAUGUGUAUACACAUAUAUAUCUAUGCAUAUGUAUAUAUAUAUACAUACACAUACAUGUCUACCGCUUGAGAAUGAUACCUUGAUACAUACACACACACGCAUAUAUAUAUACACACACGUGUGUAAGUGUAUAUUAUACACACACACACACACACACACACACACACACUAGAACACGAUAGCUUGAUGUCUCUGUCUCUCAUCUUUUGCUGGGAGUCUCCCGAGCCGGGCAGGACGGUGGAUAACGCGGGAUUCACCUGAACGAAACGCCCGUAUCUGUCUGCUCCGAUGCACGUUGGUGACACUUCAUCUAGGCGAGAAGCUGAAUUGGGAGACGGAGUCUUUUGUAGCCGAUGCCCCGGACUCGGAAAGGGAGAGGAAAGACCUGUGUUUUAUGCUCCAUUCGGGGCCACUUGGAAGCUGGAAGGCACGGGUACAAUUUUGCUGGAGACAUUGGGUCUAUUCCUGCCUUAGGGAGCUCAGCCGGGACGUUAUUUUCAAUUCCAACAUUUAUGGCAGGGAAAGGUGGGCCAGACAAUCGAUGUGUGUGAACCUGGAUGGAAAACUUCCCAGUCAUAACUCACUGCAGAAUGAGCAAUCGCCUCGAGUGCCUUAAAUACCUCUCACAAGGCUUUUCCGCACUUCGGACACUUAGAGAGAAUCACCCUCAUCCUCACCAGUGGAGGCCUCUCUUGCACACCUACCUAUAGGGUCUACGAUGUCCUGGUUCCUACACCUAUGAUGUCCUAAGACAGGCCGGGAAGCAAAAGGGAGGCCCCGACGCCCAGUGCUGUAUUGACCCAUGUCCACCCAGGUUUGAGAAAUGCCACCAGAGUCUGUUACAAGGAAGUGACUUUGAAUUAAAGUGGCAAAGGACUUGGAUGACCCCAUUGGGGGCGGGGAAAUCAGAGAGGUGUGUUGCCACUGGGAAAAUACAGGCAGGCCUUCAUGUAAAACCCAUGCUGCCUCCUGUACCAGCGUGCAGCCAGCCUGAGUCCGUAGCAUCUGACCCCUGCCAAUUCUUCCUGGCAUAAAACUGUUUCUUGUGGCUAAUAAAAGCAGGUGGAUUUCCUAA